AAUAGUGGACAAUGGGGGGAACCCUGAUCCCGCCAUGCCGCGUGUGUGAAGGAGGUCUUCGGAUUGUAAAGAACUUUUAGUUGGGAGUAAGGGCUUUAGGUUAAUACCCUGAAGUUUUGACGAUACCAACAGAAUAAGCACCGGCUAACUCUGUUCCAGCAGCCGCGGUAAUACAGAGGGUGCAAGCGUUAAUCGGAAUUACUGGGCGUAAAGCGCGCGUAGGUGGUUCAGUAAGAUGGGUGUGAAAUCCCCGGGCUUAACCUGGGAACUGCUUUCAUAACUGCUGAGCUAGAGUACGGUAGAGGGUAGUGGAAUUUCCUGUGUAGCGGUGAAAUGCGUAGAUAUAGGAAGGAACACCAGUGGCGAAGGCGACUACCUGGACUGAUACUGACACUGAGGUGCGAAAGCGUGGGGAGCAAAC
rnacentral:rRNA from 1 species